CUCGCACCUGCCCUGGCUGAAGACCUGGGGCUGCGUGUCCUCGUGGCCUUGCUGCGGUGGGACAGUCGCUUCUUUCUUAAGGCACAAGUGGAGCAGGGGUAGAGAGAAGGGGAUAGAGAAUCAGAAGUGGACUCUUGGCUGACAACAGCUAGCCCGAUGAGUUUGAACUCAUGAACCGUGAGGUCAUGACCUGAGCCGAAUUCAGACCCUCAACCAGCUGAACCACUGAGGUGCCUCUGCAAUCCUGUUCUGCUGGAUAAGUCCAUGUACUUCACUCCUUUGCUGGCUUCUGCCUCACAUUUGCCAGUGCAAAAUGGAACCAAUAUCCUUUGGACUCUGAAAAAGAAUUGCUGCUUCAGUACCCAACUGGCUGAAAGAAGAGAGAAGACAUUAAG